rnacentral:rRNA from 1 species
UACGUAGGUGGCAAGCGUUGUCCGGAAUUAUUGGGCGUAAAGCGCGCGCAGGCGGUCCUUUAAGUCUGAUGUGAAAGCCCACGGCUCAACCGUGGAAGGUCAUUGGAAACUGGGGGACUUGAGUACAGAAGAGGAAAGCGGAAUUCCACGUGUAGCGGUGAAAUGCGUAGAGAUCCGGAAGAACACCGGUGGCGAAGGCGGUCUGCUGGGGUAAUGCUGACACUGAGGCGCGACAGCGUGGGGAGCAAACAGG